AUUUUGGACAAUGGGCGCAAGCCUGAUCCAGCAAUGCCGCGUGCAGGAUGAAGGCCUUCGGGUUGUAAACUGCUUUUGUACGGAACGAAAAAGCUCUCUCUAAUACAGGGGGUGAAUGACGGUACCGUAAGAAUAAGCACCGGCUAACUACGUGCCAGCAGCCGCGGUAAUACGUAGGCAGCAAGCGUUGUUCGGAGUUACUGGGCGUAAAGAGUGCGUAGGCGGUUUUCUAAGUUCGGUGUGAAAUCUCCCGGCUUAACUGGUAGGGGGCGACGAAGACUGGUAAGCUGGAGUGUGGGAAAGGCAGGCGGAAUUCCUGGUGUAGCGGUGAAAUGCGUAGAUAUCAGGAGGAACACCGGCGGUGUAGACGGCUUGCUAGACCAUAACUGACGCUGAGGCACGAAAGCGUGGGUA
rnacentral:rRNA from 1 species